UGAGGCUGGAGGAGGGGGCCUGUGGUUACAUUCUGGCACUGUACUUCUGAAUUUUGAUGAUCAUCUGUUGAAAAAUCACAUGGGCUAUUCUGUGUCAUCACUGCUGUCUCUUCCUUUUGGCAGGAACAAACACACAGUAUCAACACUGUACAGAUAUGCUUUAACCCAGCAGAUUAUUUCAGUGAGUUUGAUGAUGACAGCAGAACACCUAGGGCUUCAUUUUUGGAAGAGUAAUUUGUACAAGGGCUGCUCUGAAAAUAAUGCCUCCUAUUUUUCUACAUUGGCCCAUGACAUCAGAGGCAGAUGUUGGUCAGAUGGCAGUAGAGACUGAAUCUUCCCACCAAUAUUCAGUUACAUGUUGUUGCCGUGUGACAGAUGUCAGCAGAAGGGCAGUCUGACAGAAUGGUGUCUGACAUAGAAGUGCAUAUGAAGCAAAGGUAUGGAAUUGAAUUUCUACUUGUGGGAAAAAUGGCACCCAUUGAUAUUCAUUGAUGCUUGUUGAACAUUUAUGGAGACCAAACAAUGGAUGUGAGCACAGUGAGGUGGUGGGUGGUGUGUUUCAGCAGUGGCAAUGACAGUGGAUCACCUCUGCUGGUGCAGAUUUUUAUGAGCACGACAUGCAGGCUCUUGUUCAUUGCUGGGAAAAACACAGAGCUAAUGGUGAUGACUGUGCUGAAAAGUAGUGUUCUGUAGCGGAGAAUUUGCUCUAUCAAAUAGUAUUAUUUUGUUCUUUGUAUUUGUUGUAGUUUGCAUGGAAAUAUAUAGGAGGCAUUACUUUUGGAAGAACU
rnacentral:lncRNA from 1 species